rnacentral:rRNA from 1 species
UACGUAGGGGGCAAGCGUUGUCCGGAAUCAUUGGCGUAAAGGGCGCGUAGGCGGGAUGGCAAGUCAGUCGUGAAAUCUCUCGGCUCAACCGAGAAACGUCGGCUGAUACUGCCGUCUUGAGGGAUGCAGAGGAGACUGGAAUUCCCGGUGUAGCGGUGAAAUGUGUAGAGAUCGGGAGGAACACCGGUGGCGAAGGCGGGUCUCUGGGCAUUUCCUGACGCUGAGGCGCGAAAGCGUGGGGAGCAAACAGG